rnacentral:rRNA from 1 species
UACAGAGGUCUCAAGCGUUGUUCGGAUUCAUUGGGCGUAAAGGGUGCGUAGGCGGCGCGGUAAGUCGGGUGUGAAAUCUCGGGGCUUAACUCCGAAACUGCAUUCGAUACUGCCGUGCUUGAGGACUGGAGAGGAGACUGGAAUUUACGGUGUAGCGGUGAAAUGCGUAGAUAUCGUAAGGAAGACCAGUUGGCGAAGGCGGGUCUCUGGA